CCACCCUUCUCUGUAGCUUCUUCUGCCUCCCCGCUAUUUAUAUCCCCCGUGUCCUUCCACGCUUCUCUCCACCACUUCACUCCACUCCACUCCACUGCACUGAUUCACUACAGCAGCAGCAGCGGCAGCCAUGGUGGCAAGGAUGAAGCGCGCGAGGGGUGUCUUCGUGCUCGCUGCGGCGUUUGCCAUGGCGGCCUUCGUCUCCGUCGUCGAGUCGAGGACCGGCCCCGUGGAGAAGACGAGCCAAGGUACGUACCGUGGAGGUUUUGCGACGUUGAUGGCGCGGGGGAGUAGCUUGCAUGCUGCACAGUUGCUUUAGGUUGGGUGGUAAAUGUCUGUGUUGCAGAGGAUGGGGUGAAGAAGCCGGACUGCGUGCCGGCGUUCGACCCGCGCUCGUUCCCCGGCCACGGCGGCACGACGACGCCCCUCCCCGGGCACGGGGGCUCCGGCGGGAGCACGUCGCCGCCGUCUCACGGCGGUACCGGCGGCGGGUACGGCUCUAC
rnacentral:lncRNA from 1 species